rnacentral:rRNA from 1 species
AUGCGGGCGGCCAUCCCUCCCCACUGGGUGGUCGACGAACGAGGUGCACGUCAGGCGGCAGCACCAGGCGGCAGACUACGGGGAGCUCGGGGCCGGCGCCGGCGCAGGUUUCUACGAGAGCGAAGCGGGCGGGUCGUCCGAGAGCCCGAGCCCGAGCCGCUCGCGGCGGGAGACCGCCCGCGCGGGGGAUCCGGCAGCAAGCGGACCCGAGCAGCACGCGGUGGGAGACCGCCCGCGCGGGGGAUCCAGCAGCAAGCGAACCCAUGCCUUCGAGUGAACAAACUCUCCGAGAAGAGGAGGAGGAGCAGGACCAACGAGAAGAUGAAGGCGUUGCAGAGCCUGAUACCCAAUUCCAACAAGACUGACAAGGCGUCGAUGCUUGACGAGCAUAAAAGAAGUGCAGAAGUUCAGGUCAUCAGAUGGCUGAGAGUGGCAGCAAUAUACCAGCGAGAAAAUGGGUGGGAUGAAUCAUGUAGUCGAGGCAGAAUUCCAGGCCAUACUGACCCUCGUUGUAGCAUUCCCAAACAUUUUUUACUACGCCACCACCACCACCAAAUGCGACCUCCGCCGCAAUCGUCAUGGCGGCAAGUAGUUCAGGUUAAUUAA